GUGCUAGCCUCAGCAGCAUAUAUACUAAAGUUGGAAAGAUACAGAGAAGAUUAGCAUGGCUCCUGCGCAAGGGUGACAUGCAAAUUCGUGAAGGGUUCCACGUUCUU
ensembl:snRNA U6 U6 spliceosomal RNA